rnacentral:rRNA from 1 species
GACGAACGCUGGCGGCGUGCUUAACACAUGCAAGUCGAACGAAGUGGCGAACGGGUGAGUAACGCGUAAUCAACCUGCCCUUCAGAGGGGGACACCAGUUGGAAACGAAUGAUAAUACCGCAAACUCACGGAGGGGAUUGCGUCUGAUUAGGUAGUUGGAGGGGUAACGGCCCACCAAGGUGCUGAGCAGUAGCCGGUCUGAGAGGAGGAACGGCCACAUUGGGACUGAGACACGGCCCAGACUCCUACGGGGAGCAGCAGUGGGGAAACUUCCGGAAUGGACGAAAGUCUGGCGGAGCAACGCCGCGUGAGUGAUGACGGCCUUCGGGUUGGAAAGCUCUGUUAAUCGGGACGCGGUACCGGAAUAGAAAGCCACGGCUAACUACGUGCCAGCAGCCGCGGUAAUAC